rnacentral:rRNA from 1 species
GUGCCAGACUCCUACGGGAGGCAGCAGUGGGGAAUAUUGGGCAAUGGGCGGAAGCCUGACCCAGCAACGCCGCGUGAAGGAAGAAGGCUUUCGGGUUGUAAACUUCUUUUCUCGGGGACGAACAGCUGACGGUACCUGAGGAAUAAGCCACGGCUAACUACGUGCCAGCAGCCGCGGUAAUACGUAGGUGGCAAGCGUUAUCCGGAUUUACUGGGUGUAAAGGGCGUGUAGGCGGGAGCGCAAGUCAGAUGUGAAAACUCAGGGCUCAACCCUGAGCCUGCAUUUGAAACUGUGUUUCUUGAGUGCUGGAGAGGCAAUCGGAAUUCCGUGUGUAGCGGCGAAAUGCGUAGAUAUACGGAGGAACACCAGUGGCGAAGGCGGAUUGCUGGACAGUAACUGACGCUGAGGCGCGAAAGCGUGGGGAGCAAACAGGAUUAGAUACCCGAGUA